rnacentral:rRNA from 1 species
UACGAAGGGGGCUAGCGUUGCUCGGAAUCACUGGGCGUAAAGCGCACGUAGGCGGCUUUUUAAGUCAGGGGUGAAAUCCUGGAGCUCAACUCCAGAACUGCCUUUGAUACUGGGAAGCUUGAGUCCGGAAGAGGUGAGUGGAACUCCGAGUGUAGAGGUGAAAUUCGUAGAUAUUCGGAAGAACACCAGCGGCGAAGGCGGCUCACUGGUCCGGUACUGACGCUGAGGUGCGAAAGCGUGGGGAGCAAACAGG